rnacentral:rRNA from 1 species
AACGAACGCUGGCGGGAUGCCUAACACAUGCAAGUCGAACGACAGGGUCGGGCGCUGCGGCGUGCGAGUGCGUAACGUGAGGGACGAGGCCCUUAUAAUGGGUAUAACUGCCCGAAAGAGGUACUUACGCCGGAUAAUCUCUUGCGCCCGACAAAUCAUCGCGUUGGGGUGGUCCCUCGUCAGCUGGGCGUGUUGGUAGGGGAAAAGCCUAUGUAGGCGAGGGGCCGUAGCUGGUCUGAGAGGAUGAUCAGCGACACUGGGACUGAGACACGGCACAGACUCCUACGGGAGGCAGGAGUGGGGAAUAGUGGACAGUGGGCGAAAGCCUGAUCCAGCCCUGCCGCGUGAGUGCUGAAGGCCUUAGGGUUGUAAAGCUCUUUUAACCGGGAUGAUAAUGACAGUACCGGGAGAAUAAGCUCCGGCUAACUCCGUG